GGCCAGCAGCCGCGGUAAUACGUAGGUGCCAAGCGUUGUCCGGAUUUAUUGGGCGUAAAGCGAGCGCAGGCGGUUUCUUAAGUCUGAUGUGAAAGCCUUCGGCUCAACCGAAGAAGUGCAUCGGAAACUGGGAAACUUGAGUGUAGAAGAGGACAGUGGAACUCCAUGUGUAGCGGUGAAAUGCGUAGAUAUAUGGAAGAACACCAGUGGCGAAGGCGGCUGUCUGGUCUGUAACUGACGCUGAGGCUCGAAAGCAUGGGUAGCAAACAGGAUUAGAUACCCUGGUAGUCCAUGCCGUAAACGAUGAGUGCUAGGUGUUGGAGGGUUUCCGCCCUUCAGUGCCGCAGCUAACGCAUUAAGCACUCCGCCUGGGGAGUACGACCGCAAGGUUGAAACUCAAAGGAAUUGACGGGGGCCCGCACAAGCGGUGGAGCAUGUGGUUUAAUUCGAAGCAACGCGAAGAACCUUACCAGGUCUUGACAUCCUUUGACCACUCUAGAGAUAGAGCUUUCCCUUCGGGGACAAAGUGACAGGUGGUGCAUGGUUGUCGUCAGCUCGUGUCGUGAGAUGUUGGGUUAAGUCCCGCAACGAGCGCAACCCUUAUUACUAGUUGCCAGCAUUAAGUUGGGCACUCUAGUGAGACUGCCGGUGACAAACCGGAGGAAGGUGGGGACGACGUCAAAUCAUCAUGCCCCUUAUGACCUGGGCUACACACGUGCUACAAUGGAUGGUACAACGAGUUGCGAGACCGCGAGGUUUAGCUAAUCUCUUAAAACCAUUCUCAGUUCGGAUUGUAGGCUGCAACUCGCCUACAUGAAGCCGGAAUCGCUAGUAAUCGCGGAUCAGCAUGCCGCGGUGAAUACGUUCCCGGGCCUUGUACACACCGCCCGU
rnacentral:rRNA from 1 species